rnacentral:rRNA from 1 species
AAUGAACGCUGGCGGCGCGCCUAAUACAUGCAAGUCGAGCGAGAAGACGUAGCAAUACGUUUGUAGAGCGGCGAACGGGUGAGGAAUACAUGGGUAACCUACCCUCGAGUGGGGAAUAACUAGCCGAAAGGUUAGCUAAUACCGCGUACGCUUCUUGGACUUCGGUUCAGGGAGGAAAGCGAUGCCGAGGGUAUCGCGCUCUUGGAUGGGCUCAUGUCCUAUCAGCUGUUGGUGAGGUAACGGCUCACCAAGGCUUCGACGGGUAGCUGGUCUGAGAGGACGAUCAGCCACACUGGCACUGCGACACGGGCCAGACUCCUACGGGAGGCAGCAGUAAGGAAUAUUGCGCAAUGGGCGAAAGCCUGACGCAGCGACGCCGCGUGGGGGAUGAAGGUCUUCGGAUUGUAAACCCC